rnacentral:tRNA from 1 species
GGCCAGGUAGCUCAGUCGGUAGAGCAGGGGACUGAAAAUCCCCGUGUCGGCAGUUCGAUUCUGCCCCUGGCCA